rnacentral:rRNA from 1 species
UACGAAGGUGGCAAGCGUUACUCGGAAUUACUAGGCGUAAAGGGCAGGUAGGUGGUUUGGUAAGUCUGUCGUUAAAACGUUCGGCUCAACCGGACGAGGUCGAUGGAUACUGCCAGGCUUGAGUAUGGGAGAGGGUACUGGAAUUCCCGGUGUAGCGGUGAAAUGCGCAGAGAUCGGGAGGAACACCAAUGGCGAAAGCAGGUACCUGGACCAUUACUGACACUCAACUGCGAAAGCUAGGGGAGCAAACAGGAUUAGAUACCCUGGUAGUCCUAGCUGUAAACGAUGCACAUUAGGCGUGGGGGGUAUCGACCCCCUCCGUGCCGACGCAAACGCAUUAAAUGUGCCGCCUGGGGAGUACGGCCGCAAGGUUGAA